UGGGCCAAUGAUGACCACUUGUGGCAUUGAGUCAUGGAUCAUGUAUAAUCAUUUCAGCAACUGUGAAGUGCAA